rnacentral:rRNA from 1 species
UACGAAGGGUGCAAGCGUUAAUCGGAAUUACUGGGCGUAAAGCGUGCGUAGGCGGUUGGCUAAGUCAGAUGUGAAAGCCCUGGGCUCAACCUGGGAAUGGCAUUUGAAACUGGCCGGCUAGAGUGUGAUAGAGGAUGGCGGAAUUCCCGGUGUAGCGGUGAAAUGCGUAGAUAUCGGAAGGAACACCAGUGGCGAAGGCAGCUCUCUGGGACGGUACUGACGCUGAGACGCGAAAGCGUGGGGAGCGAACAGG